GGAGGUAGGACGAUCAAUUGCUUUUGCUUCUGUUCGGUAAUGCGUUGCUAAUUGCUAGGGGAAGCUAGGGAUAGCAAGCCGGUAAUUAGUAAUAGGCUCUUUUCAUCGAGGGGUUGGGGUAAGGGUAGGCCAAGAAAGUUUGCAUAGCAAUUAGAUAAUCAAGCACAUUAAACAACAGGAGUAGAUAAGAGGGAGUGGAUUAGAUGAAAUUGUCAACCCCCAACAUCUCCAUUCAUCCAUAGUCUUUUUCGUCAAUUGAAUCAAACACAUUGCAUGUUUAUUUUCUAUCUUUGCAUUCCACACAAUUAAUUUUUCUCUACAAGUCUUACGAUUUCGAUUCACACGAACGAUAAGGCAUUUCGAGUCUAUUGGGAAGAACGAUAUCGGAUAUUAUCGAUUAUAUUACUUGAACGAUCUGGUACACUUGUUAGUGAGUCAACACCAGCACGCCUGGCCCCAAAGCCCAGUUUCUACGCUGGCCCCUAAGCCCAGUUUCGCCUGGCCCAUAAGCCCAGCUUGCCUGGCCCCACAGCCCAGUUUCUACACUGGCCCCAAAGCCCAGUUUCUACACUGGCCCCAAAGCCCAGUUUCUACACUGGCCCCCAAGCCCAAUUUCGCCUGGCC
rnacentral:lncRNA from 1 species